UACGGAGGGGGCUAGCGUUGUUCGGAAUUACUGGGCGUAAAGCGCACGUAGGCGGCUUUGUAAGUUAGAGGUGAAAGCCCGGGGCUCAACCCCGGAAUAGCCUUUAAGACUGCAUCGCUUGAACACGGGAGAGGUGAGUGGAAUUCCGAGUGUAGAGGUGAAAUUCGUAGAUAUUCGGAAGAACACCAGUGGCGAAGGCGACUCACUGGACGACUGUUGACGCUGAGGUACGAAAGCGUGGGGAGCAAACAGG
rnacentral:rRNA from 1 species